AACGAACGCUGGCGGCAUGCCUAACACAUGCAAGUCGAACGAGACCUUCGGGUCUAGUGGCGCACGGGUGCGUAACGCGUGGGAACCUGCCUUUAGGUUCGGAAUAACUCAGAGAAAUUUGAGCUAAUACCGGAUGAUGUCUUCGGACCAAAGAUUUAUCGCCUUUAGAUGGGCCCGCGUUGGAUUAGCUAGUUGGUGGGGUAAAGGCCUACCAAGGCGACGAUCCAUAGCUGGUCUGAGAGGAUGAUCAGCCACACUGGGACUGAGACACGGCCCAGACUCCUACGGGAGGCAGCAGUGGGGAAUAUUGGACAAUGGGCGAAAGCCUGAUCCAGCAAUGCCGCGGGAGUGAUGAAGGCCUUAGGGUUGUAAAGCUCUUUUACCCGAGAUGAUAAUGACAGUAUCGGGAGAAUAAGCUCCGGCGAACUCCGU
rnacentral:rRNA from 1 species